GAUCACGCCAGUUGCCAAAUCUAAGAAUGAGCAUCAGAAAACCUCUACCACCCUUUCAGAGUGAGUUUUUGCCACAGUAGGGGAUAGAGUGUGGCGGCUGAGAAAGUGGACAUGUUAGUGCUCUUGAAAAACAAGUGCACAAGGAAUGAUGAACACUAAUACCGCCAGCCGCAUGCGAUUGGUCAAGAUCUGCGGCGGGGUCUCGGUGUUCGCACUAAGCAGAAGGAAAAACAGGAAGGUUACAGACACGAAACACAGUAUAACAUCCACUCUACCCCCUGCACCCCUCCUCAUCUCCAUGACUGGCAACAUAAUGAAGACGAUUCUCC